rnacentral:rRNA from 1 species
UACGGAGGGUGCAAGCGUUAAUCGGAAUUACUGGGCGUAAAGCGCACGUAGGCGGAUUGCUAAGUCAGGGGUGAAAUCCCGGGGCUCAACCUCGGAAUUGCCUUUGAUACUGCCAAUCUCGAGUCCGGGAGAGGUGAGUGGAAUUCCUAGUGUAGAGGUGAAAUUCGUAGAUAUUAGGAAGAACACCAGUGGCGAAGGCGGCUCACUGGCCCGGAACUGACGCUCAUGAGCGAAAAGCGUGGGGAGCAAACAGGGAUUAAGAAACCCC